CCUACGGGUGGCAGCAGUGAGGAAUAUUGGUCAAUGGUCGUGAGACUGAACCAGCCAAGUAGCGUGAAGGAUGACUGCCCUAUGGGUUGUAAACUUCUUUUAUAUGGGAAUAAAACGUUCCACGUGUGGGAUUUUGUAUGUACCAUAUGAAUAAGGAUCGGCUAAAUCCGUGCCAGCAGCCGCGGUAAUACGGAGGAUCCGAGCGUUAUCCGGAUUUAUUGGGUUUAAGGGGAGCGUAGGCGGAUUGUUAAGUCUGCGGUAAAAGCCCGGGGCUCAACCCCGGCGAGCCGUUGAAACUGGCUGUCUUGAGAUGUCGGGAGGUAUGCGGAAUGCGCAGUGUAGCGGUGAAAUGCUUAGAUAUUGCGCAGAACUCCGAUUGCGAAGGCAGCAUACCGGCGGCGUUCUGACGCUGAUGCACGAAAGCGUGGGGAUCAAACAGGAUUAGAUACCCGGGUAGUC
rnacentral:rRNA from 1 species